CGAUUAUGGCUCAGAUUGAACAUGGCGGGGAUGCUACACAUGAAGUCGAACGGCAGCACGGACUUUCCCGGUCGGUGGCGGAAGUGGCGAACGGGUGAGUAGUGGCCAUCGGAACUGAUGUAGUAGCCAGGAAUAACUACGCGAAAGCGUAGCUGGUACCGCAUCGCGUCAAGGAAGCGGGGACCUUCAGGCCUCGCACUAGAGCAGCCGAUAUCGGAUUGGCUAGUUGGUGGGGUAACGGCUCGCAAGGCGACGAUCCGUAGCUGGUUUGAGAGGACGACCAGCCACACUGGGACUGAGACACGGCCCAGACUCCUGCAGGAGGCAGCAGUGGGGAAUUUUGGACAGUAAAACCCUGAUCCCAGCCAUCACGGCGACGUGUGCGAUGAAGGCCUUCAGGCGUAAAAGCACUUUUGGCAGGAAAAAAACGGCACGGGAUGUACCCGUGCAACUGACGAGCCUGCAGAAUAAGCACCGGCUAACUACGUGCCAGCAACCACGGUAAUACGUAGGGUGCAAGCGUUAAUCAGAAUUACGGGCGUAAAGCGUGCGCAGGCAGUUCGGAAAGAAGAUGUGAAAUCCAGAGCUUAACUUUGGAACUGCAUUUUUAACUACCGAGCUAGAGUGUGUCAGAGGGAGGGGAAGUGCGUUCAUGUGUAGCAGUGAAAUGCGUAGAUAUGCGGAGGGAACACCGUGUGAAGGCAGCCUCCUGGGAUAACACUGACGCUCAUGCACGAAAGCGUGGGGGAGCAAACGGGAUUAGAUACCCUGGUAGUCCGCCCUAAACGAUGUCAACUGGCUGUUGGGGGCCUUCAGACCUUGGUAGCGCAGCUAACGCGUGAAGUUGACCGCCUGGGGGAAAUACAGUCGCAAUUAAGAAACUCAAAAGGAAUUGACGGGGACCCCAUACAAGCGGUGGAUGAUGUGGAUUAAUUCGAUGCAACGCGAAAAACCUUACCUACCCUUGACAUGUCUGGAAUCCCGAAGGGAUUUAGGUGCUCGCAGAGAACCGGAACACAGGUGCUGCAUGGCUGUCGUCAGCUCGUGUCGUGAGAUGUUGGGUUAAGUCCGCAACGAGCGCAACCCUUUGUCAUUGGUUACUUUCGAAAGGGCACUCUAAUGAGCUGCCGGUGACAAGUGCCGGAGGAAGGUGGGGAUGACGUCAAGUCCUCAUGGCCUUAUGGUGCAGCUUCACACGUCGUACAAUGGUCAGGACAGAGGGUCGCCAACCCGCGAGGGGAGCCAAUCCCAGAAACCCGAUCGUAGUCCGGAUCGCAGUCUGCAACUCGACUGCGUGAAGUCGGAAUCGCUAGUAAUCGCGGAUCAGCAUGUCGCCCGGUGAAUACGUUCCCGAGGUCAUACACACCGCCCGUCCACACCAUGGGAGUGGAGUUUUACCAGAAGUAGUUAGCCUAACCGUAAGGAGGGCGUUACUGCAGUAAGGAUUCACUUUUGACUGGGGGUGAAGUCGUAACAGGUAG
rnacentral:rRNA from 1 species